UACGAAGGGGGCUAGCGUUGUUCGGAUUUACUGGGCGUAAAGCGCACGUAGGCGGACUUUUAAGUCAGGGGUGAAAUCCCGGGGCUCAACCUCGGAACUGCCUCUGAUACUGUUGGUCUCGAGUCCGAUAGAGGUGGGUGGAAUUCCUAGUGUAGAGGUGAAAUUCGUAGAUAUUAGGAAGAACACCGGUGGCGAAGGCGGCCCACUGGAUCGGUACUGACGCUGAGGUGCGAAAGCGUGGGGAGCAAACAGG
rnacentral:rRNA from 1 species